ACUUACGGCCAUACCAUCCUGAAUACGCCCGAUCUCGUCUGAUCUCGGAAGCUAAGCAGGGUUGGGGCUGGUUAGUACUUGGAUGGGAGACUUCCUUGGAAUACCAGGUGCUGUAAGUG
ensembl:rRNA 5S_rRNA 5S ribosomal RNA